GGUGCAUUCAUGUUGAGUUCUUAGCGUCUUCUGCUUUUUCCAACUGCAUAGAACAAUGAGCUGAGUUAAUGCACACGUUCAACUUAAAACUGACCAUAACCGAUGUAGUAGAAACCGGUAGAAAAAACAAAUCGCCGUGCAAAUUUAACUUACAAUCUGAUAGAACAAAAAAAACAUGCCAUCCUUAGCUCUUUGAUUUUGAGUGCUUAACAAGCCAAUCACCGGUUGAGUCAAUAUUGAGCCAAUCACCUCUUUUCCUUUUAUUGAAAAGGUAGGCCGAGUAGAUGAUUAAAGGAGUCAACUUAGAAUGCAAGUGUAGACUGUGUUAGAAGGCAAGUUUCCAAUUUCAGCUUAAGGUUUGUUUGCUUCAUUCAAUUUUUUCAUAUGCCCAAUAGAAGAAAUGAAAAUCCACCUCUAAAUGUUGCAACACUCUAUGAGAUAAAGACACUGAAUAUCAUAUUAUGUUAAGUUCCUGGCACACUUCGUCCCAUGAAUAUCCUUUCUUCUUUGCUCCCUUCAAACUUAACCCUUGGCAUUUGCAAUAUUACAUCUUUGAUGGCUAUGUGGAUUCAAUGGCAGGCUAGUCUGAAUAGAAAAUUUACUACCUAUGCAAAAUAGAUAAUUUAGUAAGUGUCUUCAAGAUUUAAUCACAAUUCCUUUUUUUUCCUUUUUGUAAUGACCAAAGGACAUCAUCAGUACAAGCAUGAGCGUGACCCCAAAGUACCUGAAAUGCAGCAGUAAAAAGCUUUUAUUUAGUGUCACAUUAGAUGAAAAAGUAAUGUCAAGAUUCAGAGUGUCGCUCCUGGAAAAAAAACUAUCGAAGUCUAACCGUAAAAAAAAAUAUCAAUCAAAAUGCUCGACCAACAGGAAUUAAUCUCCACACCCCUAUUACACAAUAUGUUGCACAUGGUACAUUAGCCACCAAAAAGCAUAGGGAGCAAAAUAGGGUUAAUGCCACAUUUAACUGUGGAAUGGAAUAGAAAUAGUUGUAUGCUCUGUAUUGGAGAAAUCCUUGGUAAGAAACGCUUUCCCAAAUAGGCCCUAUGCGACGCGAAUCCGGAUUAGUCGUAUUCCAAUGUGUGUACCGAAUACCGAAUUAAAAAAAAUGGAGAUUCACUAGCAAGAGUAACGUGUUAAACAAUUUGUUCUAUUUAUUCCUAUUUAACUACUUACAACUUUUGAUCUAGUUGAAUGACUGUUUAGUUUAACAUAUUAGAGAGCAGAUGAUGACUCAAAUAUAUAUCAGACAACAUUAACUCAGGGUAAUUCUAGAAUAAAAAGAAGUGAACUCGUAACAUGAAUGAGAUUACCCCAUCGAUAUGCACUCAUAAGAUCCUUGACCAACAAAAUCCAGUUGAACGUUUUAUUAGAAAUUACUACCUUGAUGAGCUACUUGUAUCCUACUUCCAACAUCUGAUGGCAAUAGUUGCACCCACGUAAUCAAUGGCAAAGAUACUUGAUUGAGUUCUUGAUGUUCAGUUGCAUUCGUUCGCUAUUGAACAAGCCUGUAGCAUAUUAAAAAGAUUACACAUAUUCAGAAGCUUCUUACUUGUUCUAAAGCCAGGCUGAAUCACAAUGCACAUCCUACCAUCUAACAAGGCAUAUAAAAAUGCUCCGCGAAACAGGACGGAUGAAUGCUGGAUCCCGUUGUGAAUACAUCAGACCGACUAAAAAAAGUAACUACAAUAUUCAGAUAGUGUAGUAGGUGGAGUGUUGAUAGUUUAGUUCUUUUGAUAUCUCAAGUUCCUCUUAAAGCAACUACUUGGCAGGUCUUUCUUUUGUUGAUAAGUCUACCGUGCAGGUCCCUAUUUACACUCUUUUGCGGAAUUUUUCUUAUACUUCUAGAACUACAGGAAAGUAUCUUGUGAAGAAAAUCAAAAUCAGGUUUGAUUCUGUAAGCACAGAAGAAAGCAUGUAGCUGCUGAUAUUUUACAAGUGUCAGUUUUAAGAUAACUAGGAAUUUUUUAAGAUGGGAAACUUUAAAACAUUCACUCUAUGGAUAUCCAUAUUCCUUCCAAUCUUCACAUCCAGUAGCGUGACCUUCAACUCUUGCUGCCUGAUUCAUACAAGGAGCUCUCUUAUUACUUGAAAGUGUUA
rnacentral:lncRNA from 1 species